rnacentral:rRNA from 1 species
GCUAUCAGAUGAGCCUAGGUCGGAUUAGCUAGUUGGUGAGGUAAUGGCUCACCAAGGCGACGAUCCGUAACUGGUCUGAGAGGAUGAUCAGUCACACUGGAACUGAGACACGGUCCAGACUCCUACGGGAGGCAGCAGUGGGGAAUAUUGGACAAUGGGCGAAAGCCUGAUCCAGCCAUGCCGCGUGUGUGAAGAAGGUCUUCGGAUUGUAAAGCACAUUUAAGUUGGGAGGAAGGGCAGUUACCUAAUACGUGA